rnacentral:rRNA from 1 species
UACGUAGGGGGCAAGCGUUGUCCGGAUUUACUGGGCGUAAAGAGCGUGUAGGCGGCCAGGCAGGUCUGUUGUGAAAACUCGAGGCUCAACCUCGAGAUGUCGGCUGAAACCAUCUGGCUAGAGUCCGGAAGAGGAGAAUGGAAUUCCCGGUGUAGCGGUGAAAUGCGCAGAUAUCGGGAAGAACACCCGUGGCGAAGGCGGUUCUCUGGGACGGUACUGACGCUGAGACGCGAAAGCGUGGGGAGCGAACAGG